rnacentral:rRNA from 1 species
AGCGAACGCUGGCGGCAGGCCUAACACAUGCAAGUCGAACGAACUCUUCGGAGUUAGUGGCGGACGGGUGAGUAACACGUGGGAACGUGCCUUUUGGUUCGGAAUAACUCAGGGAAACUUGUGCUAAUACCGAAUGUGCCCUUCGGGGGAAAGAUUUAUCGCCAUUAGAGCGGCCCGCGUCUGAUUAGCUAGUUGGUGAGGUAACGGCUCACCAAGGCGACGAUCAGUAGCUGGUCUGAGAGGAUGACCAGCCACGCUGGGACUGAGACACGGCCCAGACUCGGACGGGAGGCAGCAGUGGGGAAUCUUGCGCAAUGGGCGAAAGCCUGACGCAGCCAUGCCGCGUGAAUGAUGAAGGUCUUAGGAUUGUAAAAUUCUUUCUCCGGGGACGAUAAUGACGGUACCCGGAGAAGAAGCCCCGGCUAACUUCGUG